GCCGCCCCACACCGCGGAAGAUGGCGGCGCCGGAGGCGGCGUGGAACCGGCUGGAUGUGCCGUGGCCCGCGAGCAGCGCGACGGUGGCACUGGCGGCCAAACACCCUGCAGUGAGGUGGCUGCCGGCGCUGCGGCGGCGGUGCGACAUCGCCGGCAAGCGGCUGUCGGGGACAGGCCUGGCCGCCGAGGGACGCGUCCUGCGGGCCGUGCUCUACGUCUACCACCACAGGCUGCUCCGGCACCGGUCCUACCUGGCCCUGCAGCAGGUAGAACAAUGCUUGAAGCGCCUAUGGAAAAUGAACUUGCUGGGCUGCAUUGAAACUCUGGCAGAACUGAUUCCCAAGAAAAGUACAUCUCAAGCCCAUGCAGAGUGCUUAGUUCCCAGCCAGCCUGUGCUGGAAACAGUGGCUCUGAAGGUAUUGGGAGGUUGCAAGCUUAUACUGCGUCUACUGGACUGUUGCUGUAAAGCUUUUCUCUUGUCCGUUAAACAUCUCUGCUCGGAAGAAUUCAUACUUUUGAACACUGUGGCUUCAGGGUUGUUGAGCCGGCUAUGGAUUCAGUACAGGUGUGUAUUGCAGAGCCUCAUGUCUUUGUAUGGCAUGUUGUUGACAUCACUUCAUCUGGUAUCUGAGACCCAACAGAUGCCUUAUAUCAAGGGGUUUACCUUCCCUUCUGAUAUCAGUAACUUCCUUGGAGUUAACAUUUCUUAUGAGGUGAAGAAGCAAAAGGCUAGAAUGCUUACAACAAAAAAACCUACCAGCUGGCUGAGGAAGCUCUUCCCAACAAUGCCAGAGGCAGUGUCAGAGGUUGGGAAAACAAGAAAUUCUGUGACCUGCAUGAGUGCUGUGAACAACUGUAGUGUCCCAUGCCCCGUGGACAUCGGAGAGCCAGUUCUGGUGACCAGAGCCAGCAAAGGGAAGCACCUGGGGUUUGAUGUGAAGAGCUUACUUAGGCCAUCCAGACCUCCAACACAAGAGGUUUGUACGGGUAUAAGCAUUGCAUCAACAUCUUUUAAAGCAAAGUCAGCAUCACUUUCCUCCCAUAUAGCAAAAUCGCAGCAUACUGGAUCUCUUGUACAGAUGGUUCAAACAGCUACGUCGUUUGGGGAACUGUCAGAGGCACUCAGAAAAGCUAUUCUGUGGUGCAAAGGCAACAAAUUCAAAUCGGAAGCUUAUUUUCUGCGUAACAAGUUGUUGAAAAGCAACCGGCUACACCAUGUGGAGGCUCAAGGAUGCAGAUCACCUGUGACUCGGGAAAGAACACAUAAACUUUUGCUGAUGCCCAGCUCUGGUCAGGAGAAGCUGAAGAUGAAACUUAACAAUAUAAGGAAACUGAAGAGGAAGAAGGAAAAGGUGCAGCUGAGGUGCAGACACUGGAGAAACAAAAACACACUGGAGAGUAGAAGCCAGAGAUGAAGCACAGAAGGAUCCCAAGGAAUGAAUUCAAAAGAAAUACAAACUGGCUGUGAAUGCAUCAGAUGAGAAGAAAAGGAGGUUAAAGGACUGGCUAUAGCAUAUUGUGGAGAGGGUGGCUUCUUAUAUAGAGGGCCGUAGAGUGACUCUAGGGGACUGUUGCAAGAAUACAGUCAAAAUACUGGCUGCGUAGUGCCAGGGUUAUGGUGACAGACUAGACCAGAUGCCGUAGAGGAAGAAAAAGGAGAAAGUACUGCUGGAAGACGAGAGAGAUGCACAAGGUAAAUUCCUUGUCCAUAGAAGCCUGUACUCAACAUCACUUCUGUACAUGACAGGUGCAGAAGAGGCAAAGCUUUACAAGGUAAUGCUGGCUGCUUGCAGUGUGGUGUAUACCCUGCAAACAAUUUAAGACAUCAAAAGCAUUUAAAACUGAAAUGGUCUCCACUACUUCAGUAUGCUGCCAGUCCUUCCUUUGAUCAAUGAGUGGGGAGAAGGAAAGGGAGAGCUUUUGUGUCCCCGGCCUGGGGAAGUGCAGUUCCUCACUCCACAACAUAGCGUGUUCCUCAGGAACUUGGCAAGAAAGUCUGCUCCUGUGUCAGAUGCCCGUUUAACCAAAGCAUGUUCCCAUGAAGGCACUGAAACAUAAGGUUUAAAGUUUAAGUGAAGGAGAGGACUUGAUUUUAUUUACUACUUUACCUGUCACAGGGGCACUGGUUCUUGCAUGUAACAAAACUGUGUUCCCUCCUGCAGAUGGCUGAGGAAAAUCCAAGAGUAAUUCCAGUGUUGGAAGCAUUUGUGAAUGAAGAUCUUUUGACCAAUAAAGCAGAAAACCCAGGUGUGUCCAGAGGUAAAACUGGUUCUUCAGGGUAAGACUGUACCUGCUGUUUCUAGUACAGCUGUAAAAAACUAUGAUCUAGCUCCACGUGGCUUCCACUAAGGACACCUCGUGGCAACUAUACACACCCCCAAGGAUCAUGGGGUCCAAUUCACAGUCUGCUGCUAUUUCAGAGCACUUUUUAUAUAAAUGGAUUUACCAGACAUAUUUAAUGUAUUUACGUGGUUAAUAAAAGACUUCCCAGCA